CCUACGGGAGGCAGCAGUGAGGAAUAUUGGUCAAUGGACGAGAGUCUGAACCAGCCAAGUAGCGUGAAGGAUGACUGCCCUAUGGGUUGUAAACUUCUUUUAUAUGGGAAUAAAACGUUCCACGUGUGGGAUUUUGUAUGUACCAUAUGAAUAAGGAUCGGCUAACUCCGUGCCAGCAGCCGCGGUAAUACGGAGGAUCCGAGCGUUAUCCGGAUUUAUUGGGUUUAAAGGGAGCGUAGGUGGAUUGUUAAGUCAGUUGUGAAAGUUUGCGGCUCAACCGUAAAAUUGCAGUUGAAACUGGCAGUCUUGAGUACAGUAGAGGUGGGCGGAAUUCGUGGUGUAGCGGUGAAAUGCUUAGAUAUCACAAAGAACUCCGAUUGCGAAGGCAGUUCACUGGACUGCAACUGACACUGAGGCUCGAAAGUGUGGGUAUCAAACAGGAUUAGAUACCCCUGUAGUC
rnacentral:rRNA from 1 species